UACGUAGGGUGCAAGCGUUGUCCGGAAUUAUUGGGCGUAAAGAGCUCGUAGGCGGUUUGUUGCGUCGGCUGUGAAAUCCCGAGGCUCAACCUCGGGUCUGCAGUCGAUACGAGCAAACUAGAGUGUUGCAGGGGAGACUGGAAUUCCUGGUGUAGCGGUGAAAUGCGCAGAUAUCUGGAGGAACACCGGUGGCGAAGGCGGCAUUCUGGACCACAACUGACACUGAGAGACGAAAGCCAGGGGAGCAAACGGG
rnacentral:rRNA from 1 species